UACGAAGGGGGCUAGCGUUGUUCGGAAUUACUGGGCGUAAAGCGCACGUAGGCGGAUAUGUAAGUCAGGGGUGAAAUCCCAGAGCUCAACUCUGGAACUACCUUUGAUACUGGGUAUCUUGAGUAUGGAAGAGGUGAGUGGAAUUCCGAGUGUAGAGGUGAAAUUCGUAGAUAUUCGGAGGAACACCAGUGGCGAAGGCGGCUCACUGGUCCAUUACUGACGCUGAGGUGCGAAAGCGUGGGGAGCAAACAGG
rnacentral:rRNA from 1 species